AGAUGGUGUCUUCUCUAUUACCACCAACAAAAAUCUUUUUCACAAUUAAGUGGGCACCAGGUCUUUGAGAAUCUUCUCUUGAGGCAGCCCUCUUUGGUUCCACAACUCUUCCAUCCACUUUGUGUGCCCUUGCAUUUGUGGCUGCAUCCACCACAGUGGCAUAUGUGACAAACUCAAAGGGUCUGCAGUUCUUGGUGUUUGGAUCUCUGAUUACCACACAAUCCAUAAACAUUCCCCAUUGUUCAAAAUAGCCCCUUACACUCUCAUUGGUUGUUUCAAAGCUCAAACCCCUGAUAAAGAGCUUCUGCAGCUGUUCAGGCUCUUUGGGAGCCUCUGACUUAGACAUGAUGGUGGAACUCCUCCUCCUCCACUUCCUAUGAUUCUGAUGGGCUACAAUUCCAAGGGCCUCACUCAUCUGGCCAUAGCUGAAUGAUGGUAGAGAGGAUUCCUUCUGCAGAAGUUGCUAGCUUAGGAUGUAACAUGGAGUCACACAUGAUAAUUUUCUGAAACCUCAUGGAGUCUGUCUUAUAUUAGGAGAAAACUAACAAAUGGGAGCAGGGUGGAGACAGAGAAAAUAAACGUUGCCAAUAUUG